rnacentral:tRNA from 1 species
GUUUUAAUAAUUUAAUUUAAAAUAUUGAUUUUGUAAAUCAAACAUGAAUUUGUUUUCUUAAAACA